rnacentral:rRNA from 1 species
UACGUAGGGGGCAAGCGUUGUCCGGAUUUAUUGGGCGUAAAGCGCACGCAGGCGGUCUGCCAAGUUUGGAGUGACAGUUUCCGGCUCAACCGGAAAAGGCCUUCGAAAACUGGUGGACUUGAGGACUUGAGAGGGAGACGGAAUUCCGGGUGGAGCGGUGAAAUGCGUAGAUAUCGGGAGGAACACCUGUGGCGAAAGCGGCGCACUGGACCAUAACUGACGCUGAGGCGCGAAAGCUAGGGGAGCAAACAGG